CACUCACUGGUACCCGGACGAAAUUUCUUUUCACAAAAGGCAAUCCCCAACCUGUACUCGAUUGUGCAAAAGGAAAUAAUGGCAUGUCUAGCACACAGUGUUGGGGCAAGGGUCCAUCUGACCACUGAUACCUGGUCUGCAAAGCAUGGUCAGGGCAGGUAUAUCACCUACACUGCGCAUUGGGCAAACCUGCUGACGGCUGCCAAGCAUGGAAUGCGUGGCUCUGCAGAG